CCCCCCCCCAAUUUCCUUGACUUUAACUCAACCAAAGCUGAGACAGUAGCUGUUAGUGGGGUGUCUGGGCAGGAGGACCAAAGGGCUGGGUCCUGCAACCUCAGGCCAUCCCUCCUGGCCACCACUGGCCCUCCCCGCCCCCACGCCCCUCAGCCAUCUCCCAUGGGGAUACACCAGGAGAAAGGUCCCCACUCAUCCUCCAGCCGACACCUCAGAUUUUCGAAUUGUCUCCAGAGCCGGGUGGGGCCUUGCAGACAGGCCCUGGCUUUCAUGCACCACCAUAUGCUCAUGCCAUGUUUUCUUCCAAAAAGACACCUCAGCAAGCCCCAGGGGACAGAGGGAGAGCCCAGAUUGAGGCCUCCACUGGCCUUGACACUGCCCUUAAGGACUGCCCUUUGGCCUGAGAGCCCAAGGCCAUGCCUGUCAGUUUCCCCAGGGCUGAUUGCUGGUUUUCACUCCCCAGGCCCACGCCAGGGAUGUGGGAGCAGCCAGUGGCAGAGGGAGUGGGUGGCACAUCCCCACAGGACCCCUCCCCAAGGGUUUCACUGGGACCAUCUUGUCCCUCAUGACCCACACCUCACAGCACCCAAAGCACCACCCUUCCUGGCCCCCAGCUGUGUGUCUGAAUAAGGCAGAAACACUAGCCUUUGCACUUUGGGUUCAUGUCUGGGAGGGGGCGGGGGCGGGGGGCCUGCAGGGUGUGUUGGGUGGUUUUUUGAUAUGUAUGAAACUGACAUCUUGGCAAACCCCAUCCCCUCCCAAGCCCACUGUCACCCACUCACCCACUGUCUAUCCCAUGGAGAGUCCCCUAGCCUGACCUUGGGAUCCAGCCCUUGCUGUGGACUAGGGAGACCUCCCCAGUAGAUGCAAGUUGCCCCAUUUCUCCCUUUGGAUGAGGGCACCAGACCCCAGGCGGGGUGGAGAGGGAGGUAUGGAGAGGGAGCAGACCCGGCCCUGGAUGCACGCGGAGAUGGGGGCAUCUGGGGUCCCCCGUGCCCAUGGCUGAAACUCAGGUUCUGGCAGAGCCCUGAGCCCAGAUCCCACUCCAAGCUAGACAAUCAGACUGGAAAGGAACCCCAAAGGAGAGACUUGGGAGGGAGCGCCUUGCUGCAGCUCCCCAAGCAGCAGACAGCUCCAGAACUUUCUGUCCCCAGAGACAGCAGUGUUCCAGGAGGAAGCAGAUAUGGCUGGACAGCGGCCAGUGAGGCAGGACCCGGGGCCGGGAGCACCCGUCCAGCCCCUGGAAGAGACCACACACAGGGUCCCCAACCCCCACUCUGGCUUCUCCAACGGUACUUUGACUCCAGUGUAGGGCUAGAGUAUACAUAUACAUAUAUAUAUAUAAUUUUGGACUUUCUUUUCUCGUACUACAGAUUAUACAGUGGCUACUUUUUAUUUUGGCCUGGAUUCUCUCUGAGGCCGACUUUUCCCCUGCAUCCUCCUGUCUUUCCGUUUCUGCCCCUUUGGACACUUCCUGAGAGUCUCAACUCCAAACUGACACCUCCUCCCCACCCCCACCCCCUCCCCCGCGUCCAUCCAUCCCUAACCCAUUCCCCAAAUGCAUCAACACCCCAUCCUCCCACCUCAGGUCCCAGCCAGGCCCCCCUGAAACCAAAGCCCCUUCAAAUCCAGGGGUCCUGGCCUCUUCCCCCUCCCAGAACCGCACGUGGGGACAGAAAGGCAGAGUGCCUGAGGAUAGAACGCAGGUCGUGGGGGGCAGUGGUGGGUUGGUGGGGAGAGAGGGAGAGACCCAUUUUCCUCUCUGAACUUUCUUUCCUCUUUUUUCUUCAUCUCUUUUCUUUCUAAGAUUUUUUAGUGGUGUUGCUGUUCAUUCUUUUCCCUCAGAUAUUUUUUGAGUUUUUUUUCCCCAUUUUGUAUUUUACCAAUAUUACCAGGAUAGUUUACUCUCUGUUUCUCGCUUUCUGCUUGCUGCACACAAUGGAUAAACACACACACACACACAGACACACACACACACACACACACCCAUGCUCAUGAACCCAUGUCAUGAGAAGGUUCGGGCCAGGCCCACUACCCACCUUGUGCCCCUCCUCCUCCCUAAGGUGGGGACAGGAUGGGGGACCAGGGGACGUGGGGCAGAGCCAGGCCCAGCCUUCUCCUGGCCCGGCUCCCCCGCCCUGCUCCUUCACAUCAUACUCCGAUCAUAACCUUGUAUAUUAAGCAGUCAUUUCGGUUUUCCGCGGACGCGCCUACCUAAGUACCAUUUACAGAAAGUGACUCUGGCUGUUAUUAUUUUGUUUGUUUGUUUCCCUAUGCAAAAAAAAAAAAAAUGAAAAAAAGAAAAAAAA
rnacentral:lncRNA from 1 species